rnacentral:rRNA from 1 species
CCUACGGGAGGCAGCAGUGAGGAAUAUUGGUCAAUGGACGAGAGUCUGAACCAGCCAAGUAGCGUGAAGGAUGACUGCCCUAUGGGUUGUAAACUUCUUUUAUAUGGGAAUAAAAUGUUCCACGUGUGGGAUUUUGUAUGUACCAUAUGAAUAAGGAUCGGCUAACUCCGUGCCAGCAGCCGCGGUAAUACGGAGGAUCCGAGCGUUAUCCGGAUCUAUUGGGUUUAAAGGGAGCGUAGGUGGAUUGUUAAGUCAGUUGUGAAAGUUUGCGGCUCAACCGUAAAAUUGCAGUUGAAACUGGCAGUCGUGAGUACAGUAGAGGUGGGCGGAAUUCGUGGUGUAGCGGUGAAAUGCUUAGAUAUCACGAAGAACUCCGAUUGCGAAGGCAGCUCACUGGACUGUAACUGACACUGAGGCUCGAAAGUGUGGGUAUCAAACAGGAUUAGAUACCCGUGUAGUC